CCUACGGGUGGCAGCAGUGGGGAAUAUUGCUCAAUGGGCGAAACCCUGAUGCAGCGACGUCGCGUGAGGGAUGAAUUAUCUCUGUAUGUUAAGCUCUAUCUGCAGGGGAGAAAAUGACGGUACCUGACUAAGAAGCCCCGUCUCACUCCGUGCCAGCACCGGCGGUAAUACGUCGGCGGCCAGCGUAAUCCGGAUUUACUGGGUGUAAAGGGAGAUUAGUCGGCUAAUCAAGUCAGAAGUGAAAACCCAGGGCUCAACCUUGGGAAUGCUUUUGAAACUGAGUAGCUAGAGUGCAGGAGAGGUAGGCGGAAUUAGUAGUGUAGCGGUGAAAUGCGUAGAUAUUAGGAGGAACACCAGUGGCGAAGGCGGCUUACUGGACUGUAACUGACGUUGAGGCUCGAAAGCGUGGGGAGCAAACAGGAUUAGAUACCCCGGUAGUC
rnacentral:rRNA from 1 species